rnacentral:rRNA from 1 species
CACGAACCGUACGAACGUUAUUCGGAAUUACUGGGCUUAAAGGGUUUGUAGGCGGCCUUGUAAGUCAGGUGUGAAAUCCCUCGGCUCAACCGAGGAAUGGCGCCUGAUACUGCACGGCUUGAGGGAGACAGGGGUAAGCGGAACUGAUGGUGGAGCGGUGAAAUGCGUGGAUAUCAUCAGGAACACCGGUGGCGAAAGCGGCUUACUGGGUCUCUUCUGACGCUGAGGAACGAAAGCUAGGGUAGCGAACGGG